rnacentral:rRNA from 1 species
UACGUAGGGGGCAAGCGUUGUCCGGAAUUAUUGGGCGUAAAGAGCUCGUAGGCGGUUUGUCGCGUCUGCUGUGAAAACGCGAGGCUCAACCUCGCGCCUGCAGUGGGUACGGGCAGACUAGAGUGCGGUAGGGGAGAUUGGAAUUCCUGGUGUAGCGGUGGAAUGCGCAGAUAUCAGGAGGAACACCGGUGGCGAAGGCGGGCCUCUGGGCCGUAACUGACGCUGAGGAGCGAAAGCGUGGGGAGCGAACAGG